rnacentral:rRNA from 1 species
GACGAACGCUGGCGGCGUGCUUAACACAUGCAAGUCGAACGGUGAACGAGGGAGCUUGCUCCCUCCGGAUCAGUGGCGAACGGGUGAGUAACACGUGAGCAAUCUGCCCCGAACUCUGGGAUAAGCGUUGGAAACGACGUCUAAUACCGGAUACGACGCGGGAGGGCAUCCUCUCCGCGUGGAAAGAACUUCGGUUCGGGAUGAGCUCGCGGCCUAUCAGCUUGUUGGUGAGGUAACGGCUCACCAAGGCGACGACGGGUAGCCGGCCUGAGAGGGUGACCGGCCACACGGGGACUGAGACACGGCCCAGACUCCUACGGGAGGCAGCAGUGGGGAAUAUUGCACAAUGGGCGAAAGCCUGAUGCAGCAACGCCGCGUGAGGGACGACGGCCUUCGGGUUGUAAACCUCUUUUAGCAGGGAAGAAGCGAAAGUGACGGUACCUGCAGAAAAAGCACCGGCUAACUACGU